rnacentral:rRNA from 1 species
UACGUAGGGCGCAAGCGUUGUCCGGAAUUAUUGGGCGUAAAGAGCUCGUAGGCGGUCUGUUGCGUCCGCUGUGAAAACCCGGGGCUUAACCCGUGGGCUGGCAGUGGAUACGGACGAGACUAGAGGUAGGUAGGGGAGAAUGGAAUUCCCGGUGUAGCGGUGAAAUGCGCAGAUAUCAGGAGGAACACCAAUGGCGAAGGCAGCACUCUGGGACGUGACUGACGCUGAGACGCGAAAGCGUGGGGAGCAAACAGG